AGUCUGGUGCCAGCAGCCGCGGUAAUUCCAGCUCCAAUAGCGUAUAUUAAAAUUGUUGCAGUUAAAAAGCUCGUAGUUGAAUUUCUGCUGCAUUGUCGAGUCCCUCCGGGGUCUUGGCACGUGGCUUUUUUCGGACGGUUCGCUGUCUGGAUGUUUACUUUGAGAAAAUUAGAGUGCUCAAAGCAGGCUUUUGCCUUGAAUAGUUUAGCAUGGAAUAAUAAAGUAGGACUUUGGUUCUAUUUUGUUGGUUUUAGGUACCAAAGUAAUGGUUAAUAGGAACAGUUGGGGGCAUUCGUAUUUAACUGUCAGAGGUGAAAUUCUUAGAUUUGUUAAAGACGAACUACUGCGAAAGCAUUUGCCAAGGAUGUUUUCAUUAAUCAAGAACGAAAGUUAGGGGAUCGAAGACGAUCAGAUACCGUCGUAGUCCUAACCAUAAACAAUGCCGACUAGAGAUUGGAGGUCGUCAGUUUUUACGACUCCUUCAGCACCUUGAGAGAAAUCAAAGUCUUUGG
rnacentral:rRNA from 1 species